UUCGCCCUUUUACCGGUGCGGGCCGUGAGAGCGGUAGCCCGGAGAUGGGUACUGAGACAAGGACCCAGGCCCUACGGGGCGCAGCAGUCGCGAAAACUCCGCAAUGCACGAAAGUGUGACGGGGCUACCCCGAGUGCCAUCCGCUGAGGGUGGCUUUUCUUUGGUAUAACUAGCCAGGGGAAUAAGGAGAGGGCAAGACUGGUGUCAGCCGCCGCGGUAAUACCAGCUCUCCGAGUGGUAGGGAUGAUUAUUGGGCUUAAAGCGUCCGUAGCCGGCUUAUCAAGUCUCCUGUUAAACUCAGCGACCUAAUCGUUGAAUCGCGGGAGAUACUACUAGGCUAGGAGGCGGGAGAGGUCGACGGUACUUCUGGGGUAGGGGUGAAGUCCUAUAAUCCCAGGAGGACCACCAGUGGCGAAGGCUGUUGACUAGAACGCGCCCGACGG
rnacentral:rRNA from 1 species